CUAAAUUAAAAUCGUUAGAUUGUGAAAGUGGAAUAUCUUAAAGUAUAAGUAAGAACUACUUAUUAAAAAAAUAGGUACAAAUUCAGAUAUAAACAAGAACUAGAUUACCAAUUAAUUUUGCAUUUGUAUAAAAAUUAGGUUGUUCUCGAAAAUAAGAAAAAUAAUAUUUGGAUAGUUAAAAUAGAAUAGUGAGAAUAAGAAUAAUUAUAGUUUAAUAAUAUUUUAUCUAAUUAAUUAACAUAAAAUAAAUAUUAAAAAAUAAUUUAAUAAAUUAAAUUAUUUAUUAGCUAUGAAUAUUGUAAUAAAUAAAUAAAAAUAAUGUUAGUUAGUUAAUUAGUUAAUUAAUAUACUAAUUAAUUAAUAAAUUAUAAAAAAUAAGUUAUUUUAUUAAUUAGUUAGUAAAUUAUUUUAGUUAGAUAGUUAGUUAAGAAAUUAUCUAAUUAAUUAAUAUACAAAUUAAUUAAAUAAUAAUUUAACUUAUUUAAUUAACUAAUUUAUCAUAAAUACUGCAAGAUAAAUCUAAAUAUUAAUUAAUAAAAUAAUUAACAACGUAUGCUGUUAAUUAACUAUAAGUAAUUAAU
rnacentral:lncRNA from 1 species